ACAGCCUUGAUCAGUUAUUUAUUAUUCUGAUUAAUGUUUGCUACAGCAAUAGUGCUACGUGACAACAGCUGAGAUUCAGGUCCUGUUGUAUACAAGGACUGAUAUAAAUGAACAAUAAGAAACAGACUUUGCACUAAAUGAAUUAUGAAUUGAGUAGAGAACACAGGUGAAAAAGUAUAGAGACUUCCAAAGCUGGCAAUAUAAUCUUUAUGGGUCGUGGACUUGUUUAACUCCCUGUGUAUAGAAACAUCAGAACAUUUACCUGUUUUUCCAAUGGAAAUGAUCAUUCACCCAUCUCUAUUUUUUUUUUCAUUGUAAAAAAGAAGUCCCAAAAGAAAAUGCAGUAGUUGGAAAACUGAUGCCAAUAAAAAUUCCAUGUUCAUUUCAAGCACAUUUAUACUACUACCAUGUUGACGUCAGCUAAGAAGCUUGUUUUUGGCUCUGUCAUAGAGAGUGGAAAAUAUGCUUAUGCACAGCAGUGUGAUUAGGGAACAUCAGCUGGCUCGUUUAGUUUUCUGCAUUUGAAUGGGUUGAAUUACGCCCACUACACUACUGAUACUUUGGACUAGAACCUGGCUCAUUACAAAAGGAGCCCAGGAUGGCUAGCUUCAAUGGAGAUGUCCAAAUUGAAUGUCAACCCCACGUGAUGAACCCCAUUCUCCUCUCCUUAACACCUGUCAUGUGGUGGCUUCCCACCAGAAAUCCAAUCACCUACCAACAGAAGCACUGACAGCAUGGAUGUCUCAGGGAAGAGGCUUUGCUCCGUAGAUGACAUUUUCUCCCUGUUGACUAUUUGCAAACAAACUUUCUCGCAGAGAGUCGGGGCACAGAGGACAAAAAGCGUUUUGAGCAGCUGAGUGGCGGCAGAAGUGCAGUAGAGGGAGGAAGGAAUGGGAAAGCACUGGAACAGUUGGCCUUGAUUCCGUCACUAUCCAGCAAUUGGAGCCAUGCACUAAGAAGGAACAGAACAUCAUCACAUGUAGCCAGCUGGGUGCUGUCUCAGAAAGUCAAUCUGCAGAGGAAUAACUGGAGCCCUAUCCCAGAUCCCUAGCGAUUAAGCAAAUGUCCCUUCACCAUUUCCUUAGCAUUAACUGAGGAGAGAAAUCUCUAUGAAGAGAUUAUGGAGCCUGAACCAUAGCAUGGUGCUAUCUGCGUACGUGAGUGAUGGACUUGGAAAGUAAGAAAUGGAUUUGGUU
rnacentral:lncRNA from 1 species